GACAGAGGAGCCAAGCGUUGUCCGGACUGACUGGGCGUAAAGCGCCCGCAGGCGGCCGUGCACGUGGGGUGUGAAAGCGCUCGGCUUAACUGAGCGAGGCCAUCCCAUACGGCGCGGCUCGAGCCGUCCAGAGGCCGGUGGAAUUGCCGGUGUAGUGGUGAAAUGCGUAGAGAUCGGCAGGAACACCCAGGGGGAAACAGCCGGCUGG
rnacentral:rRNA from 1 species